AAUAGUUAUAGGUUAAAAAAACCGAUAAAUUGUGGUUUUAUAAAUGCCAAAUAGCUAACUCUCA
rnacentral:tRNA from 1 species